UAUAGACUCUGCUUCUAGUCAGGGAAGCAGGUCCUAUAGACUCUGGUUCUAGUCAGGGAAGCAUGUCCUAUAGACUCUGCUUCUAGUCAGGGAAGCAGGUCCUAUAGACUCUGCUUCUAGUCAGGGAAGCAUGUCCUAUAGACUCUGGUUCUAGUCAGGGAAGCAUGUCCUAUAGACUCUG